CCUACGGGCGGCAGCAGUGAGGAAUAUUGGUCAAUGGACGAUAGUCUGAACCAGCCAAGUAGCGUGAAGGAUGACUGCCCUAUGGGUUGUAAACUUCUUUUAUAUGGGAAUAAAGUGUUCUAUGUGUGGUGUUUUGUAUGUACCAUAUGAAUAAGGAUCGGCUAACUCCGUGCCAGCAGCCGCGGUAAUACGGAGGAUCCGAGCGUUAUCCGGAUUUAUUGGGUUUAAAGGGAGCGUAGGUGGAUUGUUAAGUCAGUUGUGAAAGUUUGCGGCUCAACCGUAAAAUUGCAGUUGAUACUGGCAGCCUUGAGUACAGUAGAGGUGGGCGGAAUUCGUGGUGUAGCGGUGAAAUGCUUAGAUAUCACGAAGAACUCCGAUUGCGAAGGCAGCCUACUGGACUGCAACUGACACUGAGGCUCGAAAGUGUGGGUAUCAAACAGGAUUAGAUACCCUGGUAGUC
rnacentral:rRNA from 1 species